rnacentral:lncRNA from 1 species
UACCAGUCCAAAGUAAGGCGGCGCGCGGGCUACCGCGCUCGCCUGGCAACUGCCCGCGCCGCUUGGCAGCCUUGCUUGUGCCGGGAGCAGAAUCAUCAAUAAAAAGAUGCCCCCCAACAUGUUUAUCUGUUGUGUGUGUUACCGCAAUAUGUCAAUUUAGUCGCAUAACGUAUGUGAAUGGACUCGCGAUUACGCGGCCCGUAGUGUCUUCCUUUGUAGUGUGAUUGACUCCAGUGCUGGUUGUUUUUGUGAGGUUGAUUCGCAGUAUUCGCGGAACUUCUGUAAAUAAGGUCUAUUACUAAAGCAAUAAUCUGCAAUCUCGAAACCCCGUAGUAAUAAAAUAUAUAUUAACGCUGUAAAAAGUGCUAAAAUAAAAUUAAAAACUAGCGGUAAUUUACGCAGUAUCUUCCAUAAUUAAAAGUAGAAAUAAACUGUACAAAAAUGUCCCCCGUCGCGAGAUUCGACGAUCGCAUUGGAGCUUGCAACUGCAACGUCGAGGGAACACGUGUCGGGGUUUAAAUUAAAA